AGGCCACCUCUACGGCUGCAUUUACUCCACGUGUACCUUACCCGCACCGCCAGGCGACUGAUGCUAGAUCGACGAUGCUACCAGGAACGGGCCCUUGCAGGGAAGGGCCCGAAGCUGCUCUUGGCGGCCCUGCUUUCCAAGAGGCAGACACACCCUGGUGACCCCCACUCAAGAGUGAGAGCAGGAGCCGAGCCGCCUGCGGGAACCAGCCGGGCAGCCGUGGGAUCACGUCGAUGCCACACCAGGGAUAUACAGAGGGGAGGCCGGCAGCCAGUCUCCAGGGAGGGCAGCUGCUGCCACCCCACCCAAGUUGAAAAAGGAAGAAAGGGAAACUGAGGCAUAUGGCGAGCUGAAGUAACCCUGUCUCCCAGAGUGAGCAGAACCAGCUACUUCAGAGGAAGGGGUAAGAACCCCACAGUGCGCAGAGGUGGGAUAAUCUGCCCCUUACACAGGCC